rnacentral:rRNA from 1 species
AUUGAACGCUGGCGGCGUGCUUAACACAUGCAAGUCGAACGAGAACGGAAUAUAGCUUGCUAUAUUUGUCAGCUAAGUGGCGCACGGGUGAGUAAUGUAUAGAUAACCUGCCCUUAAGAAAGGAAUAACAGUUGGAAACGACUGCUAAUGCCCUAUAUACCUUUAAUACAUAAGUAUGCAAGGGAAACGCUUUAGUGCUUAAGGAUGGGUCUGUAUGGUAUCAGCUUGUUGGUGAGGUAAUGGCUCACCAAGGCUAUGACGCCUAACUGGUUUGAGAGGAUGAUCAGUCACACUGGAACUGAGACACGGUCCAGACUCCUACGGGAGGCAGCAGUGGGGAAUAUUGCACAAUGGACGAAAGUCUGAUGCAGCAACGCCGCGUGGAGGAUGACACAUUUCGGUGCGUAAACUCCUUUUAUAUAGGAAGAUAAUGACGGUACUAUAUGAAUAAGCACCGGCUAACUACGUGCCAGCAGCCGCCGUAA